GAUGAACGCUGGCGGCGUGCCUAAUACAUGCAAGUCGAGCGAACGGGCGAGAAUCUUGCUUCUCUGAUGUGAGCGGCGGACGGGUGAGUAACACGUGGAUAACCUGCCGAUGAGGCUGGGAUAACUUCGGGAAACCGGAGCUAAUACCGGAUAAGAUUGUGAACCGCAGGGUUCAAAAGUGAAAGACGGUCUUGCUGUGACUUAGAGAGGGAUCCGCGCUGCAUUAGCUAGUUGGUAAGGUAACGGCUUACCAAGGCAACGAUGCAUAGCCGACCUGAGAGGGUGACCGGCCACACUGGAACUGAGACACGGUCCAGACUCCUACGGGAGGCAGCAGUAGGGAAUCUUCCGCAAUGGGCGAAAGCCUGACGGAGCAACGCCGCGUGAGUGAUGAAGGUCUUCGGAUCGUAAACCUCUGUUAUUCGGGAAGAACACCUGUGUACGUAUCUGUGCACAUCUUGACGGUACCUAAUCAGAAAGCCACGGCUAACUACGUG
rnacentral:rRNA from 1 species